rnacentral:rRNA from 1 species
AUGAGGGGAGUGAAACAGACCUGAAACCGGAUGCCUACAAGCAGUGGGAGCGGCCUUGCGCCGUGACCGCGUACCUUUUGUAUAAUGGGUCAGCGACUUAAAGUAUGCAGCGAGCUUAAGCCGAUAGGCGGAGGCGGAGCGAAAGCGAGUCUGAAGAGGGCGCUUGAGUUGCAUGCUUUAGACCCGAAACCUGAUGAUCUAGCCAUGGCCAGGUUGAAGGUGGGGUAACACCCACUGGAGGACCGAACCCACGCCUGUUGAAAAAGUCGGGGAUGAGCUGUGGCUAGGGGUGAAAGGCCAAUCAAAUCAGGAAAUAGCUGGUUCUCCGCGAAAGCUAUUUAGGUAGCGCGUCGGGUAUCGCCCGCGGGGGUAGAGCACUGGAUGGGCUAGGGGGGCGCGAGCUCUACCAAACCUAACCAAACUCCGAAUACCGCGGAGCGCAGCCCGGCAGACAGACGGCGGGUGCUAAGGUCCGUCGUCGAGAGGGAAACAGCCCAGACCGCCAGCUAAGGUCCCCAAGUGGUGGCUAAGUGGGAAAGGAUGUGGGAAGGCCAUGACAACCAGGAGGUUGGCUUAGAAGCAGCCAUCCUUUAAAGAAAGCGUAAUAGCUCACUGGUCUAGACAAGCCGGCCUGCGCCGAAAAUGUAACGGGGCUCAAGCCACCCACCGAAGCUGCGGGAUCCGCAAGGAUCGGUAGCGGAGCGUUCCGUAAGCCAGCGAAGGGCGGCCGUGAGGUCGCCUGGAGGUAUCGGAAGUGAGAAUGCUGACAUGAGUAGCGACAAGGAGUGUGAGAAACACUCCCGCCGAAAGUCCAAGGGUUCCUGCGCAAGGUUAAUCCGCGCAGGGUGAGCCGGCCCCUAAGGCGAGGCCGAAAGGCGUAGCCGAUGGAAACCAGGUUAAUAGUCCUGGGCCCGGCCGUGGUGACGAAUUCCGAAGUGUGUAUGGGCUUAACGGAUUGCCUGUGCACUGGAGGGGUUCCAGGAAAUAGCCCGGCCAGAUGGACCGUACCCGAAACCGACACAGGUGGACAGGUAGAGCAUACCCAGGCGCUUGAGAGAACGGUGUUGAAGGAACUCGGCAAAUUGCCCCCGUAACUUCGGGAGAAGGGGGCCCCGUCUGUGGGCAACCACGGGCGGGGGGCACAGACCAGGGGGUAGCGACUGUUUACUAAAAACACAGGGCUCUGCGAAGCCGCCCAAGGCGACGUAUAGGGUCUGACGCCUGCCCGGUGCCGGAAGGUUAAGAGGAGAGGUGCAAGCCUUGAAUUGAAGCCCCGGUAAACGGCGGCCGUAACUAUAACGGUCCUAAGGUAGCGAAAUUCCUUGUCGGGUAAGUUCCGACCUGCACGAAUGGCGUAACGACUUCCCCACUGUCUCCGGUACAGACUCAGCGAAAUUGAAUUCCCCGUGAAGAUGCGGGGUUCCCGCGGUCAGACGGAAAGACCCCGUGCAC